GGACUGGGUCAGGGUUGAACUUGAGAGACUCCCUCCAGAUGAGCUCCUUGAUAUCUUCUUCGGUGAGCGAUGGCUGCUCGAAGUCGAAGCUGAAAGGCGCUGGGCAGACGGGUUCGUCGUUUAUCUCAUGAAGGGAUGCCAGGUAUGGGUGGCAUAGAGCCUCAUCAACUGCAAUUCCACAAAAGGAAAAGCAUCAAGGUUAGUAUGUUUCAAGAGAUUGCACCUUCUGCUCUUAGAAUGCAAGAAUAGUAGUUGCAUGAAUAUAAUUAUUCAGUUUCAACGAUUCAUUUCAGGGUCAUCUCAUAUCAUACCAUAUAUAUCAGACUGAAAAGGGCAGAAUUUCAAACGAUGAGGGCUACUUUGGGAACCUCAAAUCCCCUUCGGGGUUAGAGGGGAUUGAGGUGGAAAUGAACUAAUUUCCUCUCCAAUCCCCUUCAACCCCGAAGAGGAUUUGAGUUUCCAAACUAGCGCUCUUCGGGAUUUGAGUUUCCAAACUAGCGCUGAAAGGUUCUUUCUUUCCUGUCUGGACGAGGGCAAUUGAGCUAGAAUUUAGCUCUACUCUGGACUAUAUAUCCCAGCAAAAUAUACUGCAUCCAGGCAAGCAUGUCACACAUUUUAUAUGAUAUCAAUGCAGCAAGUUCAUGCAGAGCUGCAGGAUUAACAGUAAUCCUCUUGCUCGGAUCAAACACGAGCAUCCUCUCAAGCAAAUCCAUGGCACCACCACUGCACAUAGCGGGGAACUGCGCACGGAACUGUAAUCGAUCAGUGGUCUGAAGCGAAAUGAAAGAUAGAAACGGAGAACUGACGGCGGCACGGCAUUACUGUACUACCUGGCAGUGGUCAUCGGUCAGUGGCUGGUUGGAUCGUAGGAGGUGGUGAAGGUCGGUGUCCAUCAGCUCGUAAACAACGUAGGCGUCGUUGAAGUUCUCCCUUCUGGGUGGUCGUAAACAAUGUAUAUACGUACGUACACACACACAUGUAGCCAACAUAUGCAGCAUACAAUAAUCAUAUAACAGCCAGUCAUCACCACAAGCUUUUGAUGAGAUGAAAAGAACAUGUAGCUAUACACCCUUUUUUGUGGCCACCGC
rnacentral:lncRNA from 1 species